rnacentral:tRNA from 1 species
UCCAAGGUAGCUCAAUAGUGGAGCAACCGGCUGUUAACCGGUAGGCUGUGGGUUCGAGCCCCACCCUUGGAG